GGAGACGUGCCAGAGCGGCCGAAUGGGGCUCCCUGCUAAGGAGUUGCCCUCUUUGCGGAGGGCCGCAGGUUCAAAUCCUGUCGUCUCCGCCA
rnacentral:tRNA from 21 species